rnacentral:rRNA from 1 species
AGCCUGAUGCAGCCAUGCCGCGUGUAUGAAGAAGGCCUUCGGGUUGUAAAGUACUUUCAGUCGUGAGGAAGGCGGUGUCGUUAAUAGCGGCAUCAUUUGACGUUAGCGACAGAAGAAGCACCGGCUAACUCCGUGCCAGCAGCCGCGGUAAUACGGAGGGUGCGAGCGUUAAUCGGAAUUACUGGGCGUAAAGCGCAUGCAGGUGGUUUGUUAAGUCAGAUGUGAAAGCCCGGGGCUCAACCUCGGAAUAGCAUUUGAAACUGGCAGACUAGAGUACUGUAGAGGGGGGUAGAAUUUCAGGUGUAGCGGUGAAAUGCGUAGAGAUCUGAAGGAAUACCGGUGGCGAAGGCGGCCCCCUGGACAGAUACUGACACUCAGAUGCGAAAGCGUGGGGAGCAAACAGGAUUAGAUACCCUGGUAGUCCACGCCGUAAACGAUGUCUACUUGGAGGUUGUGGCCUUGAGCCGUGGCUUUCGGAGCUAACGCGUUAAGU